rnacentral:rRNA from 1 species
UACGUAGGGUGCGAGUGUUAAUCGGAAUUACUGGGCGUAAAGCGUGCGCAGGCGGUUCGCUAAGACCGAUGUGAAAUCCCCGGGCUUAACCUGGGAACUGCAUUGGUGACUGGCGGGCUAGAGUAUGGCAGAGGGGGGUAGAAUUCCACGUGUAGCAGUGAAAUGCGUAGAGAUGUGGAGGAACACCGAUGGCGAAGGCAGCCUCCUGGGCCAAUACUGACGCUCAUGCACGAAAGCGUGGGGAGCAAACAGG